rnacentral:lncRNA from 1 species
AGUUGCUCCCACGCCCAGCAGUACCUGGCCGGCGCAGGCCGGGGUGGCACGCCGGGCCCGAUAAGGGGUCUCCGGGGCGGAGCCGUCGGCUGGGAGGCGGGCGGGGACCGCCCCGCCCUGCCCACACCGCGCCCGGCUCCGCGGGCCAGCGGUCCGUCGCGUGCUGUCCAGUGGUCGGCGCGCUCGGGCUCCUCACGGAGUGGGCCCGCUGGGGCCCCGCGCUCCGGGGUCGGCGCUCCGGGACACCGGUCUGGUGUCCGCGCCGCCCGCGCUUCGACUGAAGGAGCCCGGCCGGCGGAGGGCGUGGACUGCUCGCUCCGCCUCCGCUCCUGCCCCGGAGGAGGGUGGGGAGAGCGCCCGCCCAGCGGCUGGAGAGGCCUGCAGGCCGGUUCUGAAAUCCCGGGACAAGCUCAGACUAAGGAUCGUGCUCUCAGAGCGGUUUGGGAGGCCGAGAGGACAGAAGAAAUGCCGAGUCACAGAAACCACUCCCAAAAACCUGCCGGGCGCGGCAGGCAGGGCCGGAGGCGAUGGGCUGCUUCCCCGGGGGAUUCUGAGCUCUGCAGUUAUUACUACAUCAGCUCCACCUCCGAUCAUCAGGCAUUGGACCCCGGAGGUUGGGGACCCUUGCUUCAGCACAAAGCUUCACACAGCGCCAGAGAGGAGGCCACGAGGGCAAGGUAGGCGAUCACGUCCCAACUGGAGUUUCGUCUUUAUGUUCAGAUUCAGCUCUUCAAGCUGAUGACUGAUUGUC